GUUUAGAGUGGAGAAGUCUCUCAAUCCCCUACAGUCUUUUCCCAGUGGUGAGGAGGAAAGACUUCCUCCAACAUCUACACCUGAAAUGGAAUCAGCUGGAGAAGCUCUGUCAGGAUCCCAGAGGGAAGACCCAUUGGAGUUUGAUGCUGAUGAAACAUCAGGGGAAGAUUUGCUUGAAAUCUUACCCGAACCCAUUCUUGAAACCAUGUCUACAGACUUGUCCGAUCCUGGAGUCUCUGACAACUUAGCGGCCGAACCUAGUCCUAUGACAUUACCAACUCUUAAUUGCUCAGAUUCGGUUAUUGACCCCCCUUUGAGGCGGUCAACGCGUCACAGAUCACCACCUAGGCGACUGCAGUAUGCCCGCUUAGGCAAUCCAUUGAUAUCAGUUGUUCAGUCUCUGUUUCAUAGUCUGUCAGAUGCUUUAACCACCGCAACCACCAAUUCUAACCCUUCAGUCGUACAUAUUGUGUAGUGUUGUCAUGCAACGGGACGUGCAUGUAUUCAAGGGGGGAGGGUGUAACCCAGAGUAAUUUCCUGCACUUAUUUCCUCCCAUUGAACGCAUCACAAAUGCAUGACUCCAACCACAUGACUUUGCUCAGCCAAUCGAAUGGCAUGUAGGUCAUAGUAAGCCUGUCCCGGCUUCCUCCCGUCAGAUGCGUGGAGGCAAGCCAGGUGACAGAGCUGUUGCAGGCCAGGUGAACCUUUUUUGGGUAUGGAAAAGGAUGGCGAGCCAAUGAACGGCUAGGAGCAGGACUCAUUCUGCAUUGAAGCUUCCACUGGACUGGUAGGAAGCUAUCAAAGGCGACGCUCUGUCCCGUAAUUUCCGAAUACACUGAU
ensembl:lncRNA